rnacentral:rRNA from 1 species
CGAACGCUGGCGGCGUGCUUAACACAUGCAAGUCGAACGGAAAGGCCCUGCUUUUGUGGGGUGCUCGAGUGGCGAACGGGUGAGUAACACGUGAGUAACCUGCCCUUGACUUUGGGAUAACUUCAGGAAACUGGGCUAAUACCGGAUAGGAGCUCCUGCUGCAUGGUGGGGGUUGGAAAGUUUCGGCGGUUGGGGAUGGACUCGCGGCUUAUCAGCUUGUUGGUGGGGUAGUGGCUUACCAAGGCUUUGACGGGUAGCCGGCCUGAGAGGGUGACCGGCCACAUUGGGACUGAGAUACGGCCCAGACUCCUACGGGAGGCAGCAGUGGGGAAUAUUGCACAAUGGGCGGAAGCCUGAUGCAGCAACGCCGCGUGCGGGAUGACGGCCUUCGGGUUGUAAACCGCUUUCGCCUGUGACGAAGCGUGAGUGACGGUAAUGGGUAAAGAAGCACCGGCUAACUACGUG